CGGGUCAAGGGCGGCCAGGAGAAGGGGCUUUGCUAAUUGCCAAAGCAGGAUGUGAGCUCACAGAGGAUGUGGCAGAGAGUCUGGGAGGAGGUGUAGGGGCUUGCGGAGGAGGGGCACGCAGUGCUGUGGUGCUGUGCUGUGGCCCAGUUGGGACUGCAGGACCCACCGGAUCCACCGCCCUGGCGCUCCCCUGUGAGGCCGCACUGUCCCGCUCCUGCUGCCCCUCCUUGCCUCAAUGCUUCUCUGGACCACCCUCUGAGCACAGUCCUGCACUGCCUGACACCGCCUGCAGAGGGCGCCAGACCCCAGCUCCCGCCCUGAGCCCAGGCUGCGCAGCCACAGCUGGGACCGGAGCCCCCACUCUUCGGGACCCACUGUGGAGACUUCUGGAGAAUGUGGGACGCCUCCCACCCUGACAGGACAAGCUGAGGAGGGUGUGGCUCUGCAUCCACACUGACCAGACCCGUUGUGGAGGACGCGCCCGCACUGGCAGCAGUCCAACCUCCUAAGGACCAGACGCUGGAGGAGAUGUUGAAGCCCUGACCCUCAAGGAGUGCCAUCAGGAGGUAUGGGCUUUGAGAGGUGAUGAGGUCAUGAGAUUGGAACACUUGUGACAGAGAUAAAAGCACUUCUGAGAAAAGACCCGAGAGAUUGUUCUGCCAGCUGUCAUCCAUGCAAGGCUACAACAGAAAUAUGGGCAUCUAUAGAUAAUGAAGCAGUCUCUUGCUAGAUAUCAGAUCUCCCAGGAUCUUGCUUUUGGACUUCUCAGUCUCUAGAACUGCCAGGAAUAGUACAUGCUUUGCUGUUUCAGCCACCCAGUCUGUCAUCAUUUGUUGCAGCAACUUGAACUGAAUAAGGCAGAGCCCAAGUCCUGGUUAAUCCCUGCUUCUACACAUUUCCCCUCAGAAAGAGCUUCUAAUCCAGAGCUGACCUCUGCUUUCCAUACACGU